rnacentral:sRNA from 1 species
CAGCAGCAGCAGCGCGGAGCCCUUCGCGAGCGACCCCCA